GAUUUUUUAUACUUUAAUUUUUUAUUAAUCAUUAUUUAUUUAAUUAUAUAUUUUUAGAUAUAAUGUUAUAAUUAGUAUAUUUUGUUAAUUAUUUUUUAGGAAUUCGGCAAUUAUUUUUUUUACCUGUUUAUUAAAAACAUGUCUUGAAGGGUUAAUUAUUUUAAGUCAGGCCUGCCCAAUGAAAUUAAUUUAAUGGCUGCAGUAUAUUAACUGUACGAAGGUAGCAUAAUCAUUUGUUUAUUAAUUGUAGACUAGUAUGAAUGGUUUUAUAAAAAGAAAUCUUUCUUUUUUAUAUAAAAUUGAAUUUAAUUUUUUGGUUAAAAAGCCAAAUUUUAUUUAUGGGACGAGAAGACCCUAUAGAACUUUAAUAUAAUUUAUGAAAAUUUUUUUUAUAUUAUAUUAUGCUGGGGUGGUAUAUAUAUAUAUUUAACUAUAUAUUUUUUAUUUCAUUUAUUUUUGUUUUUAUUGAUCCAAUAUUUUGUUGAUUAUAAGAUUAAGUUACCUUAGGGAUAACAGCGUAAUUUAUUUGGAGAGUUCAUAUCGAUAAAUUAAGUUUGCGACCUCGAUGUUGAAUUAAGAUUAGAAUUAGGGGUAAAUUAUUAAAUUUUUUGGUCUGUUCGACCAUUAUAUUCUUACAUGAUUUGAGUUUAGAUCGGCGUGAGCCAGAUCGGUUUCUAUCUUUAAUAAUUUUUAUAUAUUCUAGUACGAAAGGACCGAGUAUAUUUAAUAAUUA
rnacentral:rRNA from 1 species